CAAUAGCGUAUAUUAAAGUUGUUGCAGUUAAAAAGCUCGUAGUUGGAUUUGUGGUGUAUGGUGUGUUCCGGGCACUUGUUGUCUGAGUAACUUGCCAUUGCCAUCCUUGGGUGGAACCUGUGUGGCAUUAGGUUGUCGUGCAGGGGAUGCCCAUCGUUUACUGUGAAAAAAUUAGAGUGUUCAAAGCAGGCUUAUGCCGUUGAAUAUAUUAGCAUGGAAUAAUAAGAUAGGACUUUUUUGCUAUUUUGUUGGUUUGCGCGAGAAGGUAAUGAUUAAUAGGGAUAGUUGGGGGUAUUCGUAUUCCAUUGUCAGAGGUGAAAUUCUUGGAUUUUUGGAAGACGAACUAUUGCGAAAGCAUUUACCAAAGGAUGUUUUCAUUA
rnacentral:rRNA from 1 species